CUACGGGUCGCUGCAGUGGGGAAUCUUGCGCAAUGGGCGAAAGCCUGACGCAGCCAUGCCGCGUGCAUGAUGAAGGUCUUAGGAUUGUAAAAUUCUUUCACCGGGGACGAUAAUGACGGUACCCGGAGAAGAAGCCCCGGCUAACUUCGUGCCAGCAGCCGCGGUAAUACGAAGGGGGCUAGCGUUGCUCGGAAUUACUGGGCGUAAAGGGAGCGUAGGCGGACAUUUAAGUCAGGGGUGAAAUCCCGGGGCUCAACCUCGGAAUUGCCUUUGAUACUGGGUGUCUUGAGUAUGAGAGAGGUGUGUGGAACUCCGAGUGUAGAGGUGAAAUUCGUAGAUAUUCGGAAGAACACCAGUGGCGAAGGCGACACACUGGCUCAUUACUGACGCUGAGGCUCGAAAGCGUGGGGAGCAAACAGGAUUAGAUACCCUAGUAGUC
rnacentral:rRNA from 1 species